UACGAACCACACGAACGCUAUUCGGAAUCACUGGGCUUAAAGGGUGCGUAGGCGGCGCGGAAAGUAGGGUGUGAAAUCCCUCGGCUCAACCGAGGAACUGCGCUCUAAACUACCGUGCUCGAGGGAGGUAGAGGUGAGCGGAACUUAGGGUGGAACGGUGAAAUGUGUUGAUAUCCUAAGGAACACCGGUGGCGAAAGCGGCUCACUGGAUCUCUUCUGACGCUGAGGCACGAAAGCUAGGGUAGCGAACGGG
rnacentral:rRNA from 1 species